GCGUGAGAGCGCGACCCCCCACAAUGGAACUGAGACACGGUCCAUACUCCUACGGGAGGCAGCAGUGAGGAAUAUUGCGCAAUGGGGGAAACCCUGACGCAGCAACGCCGCGUGAACGAUGAAGGCCUUCGGGUCGUAAAGUUCUUUUCUAAGGGAAGAUAGUGACGGUACCUUAGGAAUAAGUCCCGGCUAACUACGUGCCAGCAGCCGCGGUAAAACGUAGGGGGCGAGCGUUAUCCGGAUUUAUUGGGCGUAAAGCGCACGUAGGUGGCGCUGUAAGUUAGACGUGAAAGCUCUCGGCUCAACUGAGAGAGGUCGUUUAAAACUGCAGUGCUUGAGGUUGGAAGAGGAGAGCAGAAUUCCCGGUGUAGUGGUGGAAUGCGUAGAUAUCGGGAGGAAUACCAGUGGCGAAGGCGGCUCUCUAGUCUACACCUGACACUGAGGUGCGAAAGCGUGGGUAGCGAACGGGAUUGGAUACCCCGGUAGUCCACGCUGUAAACGAUGGAUACUAGGUGUAGGGGGUCAUUUAACCCCUCUGUGCCGAAGCAAACGCGUUAAGUAUCCCGCCUGGGGACUACGGCCGCAAGGUUAAAACUCAAAGGAAUUGACGGGGGCCCGCACAAGCAGCGGAGCGUGUGGUUUAAUUCGAUGAUACGCGAAGAACCUUACCUGGGCUGAACUACGUGGUAGUAGUGAAGCGAAAGCGGAUCGACCCUUCGGGGAGCCUCGAUAGGUGCUGCAUGGCUGUCGUCAGCUCGUGUCGUGAGAUGUUGGGUUAAGUCCCGCAACGAGCGCAACCCUCGUCGCUAGUUACAAGUGUCUAGCGAGACUGCCGGUAUCAAACCGGAGGAAGGUGGGGAUGACGUCAAGUCAGCAUGGUCUUUAUGUCCAGGGCUACACACACGCUACAAUGGUCGGUACAAUAGGUUGCCACACCGCGAGGUGGAGCUAAUCCUCAAAGCCGAUCUCAGUUCGGAUUGUAGUCUGCAACUCGACUACAUGAAGGCGGAGUUGCUAGUAACCGCGCGUCAGCAUAGUGCGGUGAAUGCGUUCCCGGGCCUUGUACACACCGCCCGUCACAUCAUGGGAGUCGGUAACACCUGAAGUCGGUGACACUAACCGAAAGGGGGGAGCUGCCUAA
rnacentral:rRNA from 1 species